rnacentral:rRNA from 1 species
UACGGGGGGUGCAAGCGUUAUUCGGAUUUACUGGGCGUAAAGCGCGCGCAGGCGGUUUUGUAAGUCAGAUGUGAAAGCCCUGGGCUCAACCCGGGAAGUGCAUCUGAUACUGCAAGACUUGAGUAUGGGAGAGGGAAGUGGAAUUCCUGGUGUAGAGGUGAAAUUCGUAGAUAUCAGGAGGAACAUCGGUGGCGAAGGCGACUUCCUGGACCAAUACUGACGCUGAGGCGCGAAGGCGUGGGGAGCAAACAGG